GUUAGUGGCGAAAGGGUGAGGAAUAGAUAGGAACGUACCCUGUGCUCUGGGAUAGCGUCUGAAGCUUCGGCUUCUUCCGAAAGGGGCGGUAAUACCAGAUAAUGUCCUUCGGGACCAAAGAUUUAUCGGCAUUGGAGCGACCUAUCUCCUAUCAGCUUAUAGGUGAGGUAACGGCUCACCAAGGCAACGACGGGUAGCGGGACUGAGAGGUUGGCCGCCACAUCGGGACUGAGACACUGCCCGGACCUCCACGGAGGGCUGCAGUAACGGAUAUUGGGCAAUGGGCGAAAGCCUGACCCAGCAAUGCCGCGUGCAGGAUGAAGCCCCUAGGGGUGUAAACUGCUGUCAGGGGUCAGAAAGCUGGUUUCGGCCAGUUGAUCAACCCCAGAGGAAGUCACGGCUAACUUCGUGCCAGCAGCCGCGGUAAUACGAAGGUGGCCAGCGUUAUUCGGAAUCAUUGGGCUUAAAGGGCACGCAGGCGGAACAGUGUGUGUUGUGUGACAUCCCCCGGCUUAACCGGGGAAUUGCACAGCAAACUGCUGUUCUUGAGGCAGGUAGGGGUGCAUGGAACUCUUGGUGGAGCGGUGGAAUGCGUAGAUAUCAAGAGGAACGCCAGAGGUGAAGACGGUGCACUGGGCCUGUCCUGACGCUGAGGUGCGAAAGCGUGGGGAGCGAACGGGAUUAGAUACCCCGGUAGUCCACGCCGUAAACGAUGUCUACUAGGUCGUGGGUGUUCUGACACAUUCACGGCCGGAGCAAAAGUGUUUAGUAGACCGCCUGGGGAGUACGGCCGCAAGGUUAAAACUCAAAUGAAUUGACGGGGGCUCACACAAGCGGUGGAGCAUGUGGAUUAAUUCGAAGCAACACGCAGAACCUUACCUGGGUUGAACAUGCUUGUAUGCCUUCUCUGAAAGGAGUUAGGCUGCCUUCGGGUGAAACUUGCACAGGUGCUGCAUGGCUGUCGUCAGCUCGUGUCGUGAGAUGUCGGGUUAAGUCCUUGAACGAGCGAAACCCUUGCCGUUAGUUGCCAGCGAGUAAUGUCGGGGACUCUAACGGGACUGCCGGUGUUAAACCGGAGGAAGGUGGGGAUGACGUCAAGUCCUCAUGGCCUUUAUGCCCAGGGCUUCACACGUGCUACAAUGGCAAUUACAGAGCGACGCGAUACCGCGAGGUGGAGCAAAUCGCAAAAAAAUUGCCUCAGUUCGGAUUGCAGGCUGGCAAUUCGCCUGCAUGAAGUCGGAAUCGCUAGUAAUCGCGUAUCAGCAAUGACGCGGUGAAUGUGUUCCUGAGCCUUGUACACACCGCCCGUCAAGUGAUGGAAGCCGGGAGUACCCGAAGUCGG
rnacentral:rRNA from 1 species